rnacentral:rRNA from 1 species
AGUCGAACGAGACGAUUGAAAGCUUGCUUUUGAAAGUCGAGUGGCAAACGGGUGAGUAACGCGUAGACAACCUGCCGUAAAGAUGGGGACAACAGUCCGAAAGGACUGCUAAUACCGAAUGUUGUGGAACUUCCGCAUGGGAGCUCCACUAAAGAUGGCCUCUACUUGUAAGCUAUCGCUUUACGAUGGGUCUGCGUCUGAUUAGCUAGUUGGUGGGGUAACGGCUUACCAAGGCGACGAUCAGUAGCCGGUCUGAGAGGAUGAACGGCCACAUUGGAACUGAGACACGGUCCAGACUCCUACGGGAGGCAGCAGUGGGGAAUCUUCCGCAAUGGGCGCAAGCCUGACGGAGCAACGCCGCGUGAGUGAAGAAGGGUUUCGACUCGUAAAACUCUGUUGUCGGGGACGAAUGUGGAGGUUGUGAAUAACAGCUUCCAAUGACGGUACCUGACGAGGAAGCCACGGCUAACUACGUGCCAGCAGCCGCGGUAAUACGUAGGUGGCGAGCGUUGUCCGGAAUUAUUGGGCGUAAAGGGAGCGCAGGCGGGAGAUCAAGUCUAUCUUAAAAGUGCGGGGCUCAACCCCGUGAGGGGAUGGAAACUGGUCUUCUUGAGUGCAGGAGAGGAAAGCGGAAUUCCUAGUGUAGCGGUGAAAUGCGUAGAUAUUAGGAGGAACACCAGUGGCGAAGGCGGCUUUCUGGACUGUAACUGACGCUGAGACUCGAAAGCUGGGGAGCGAAUAGG